rnacentral:rRNA from 1 species
CCUACGGGAGGCUGCAGUGAGGAAUAUUGGUCAAUGGGAGAGAUCCUGAACCAGCCAAGCCGCGUGAGGGAAGACGGCCCUAUGGGUUGUAAACCUCUUUUGUCGGAGAACAAAACCCGGGACGUGUCCCGGACUGCGUGUAUCCGAAGAAAAAGCAUCGGCUAACUCCGUGCCAGCAGCCGCGGUAAUACGGAGGAUGCGAGCGUUAUCCGGAUUUAUUGGGUUUAAAGGGUGCGUAGGCGGUCCGUUAAGUCAGCGGGAAAAUUGCGGGGCUCAACCCCGUCGAGCCGUUGAAACUGGCAGACUUGAGUUGGCGAGAAGUACGCGGAAUGCGCGGUGGAGCGGUGAAAUGCAUAGAGAUCGCGCAGAACUCCGAUUGCGAAGGCAGCGUACCGGCGCCAGACUGACGCUGAGGCACGAAAGCGUGGGGAUCGAACAGGAUUAGAUACCCUAGUAGUC